CUGUUUAGUUCCCUUUGCCACAUAUAAUAUCAUUGUGGCCUCAUUAUCUGGUGAACAAAUUUGAAGUUUGAAAUUUGUUGGUUGGAUAAAGAAAACA
rnacentral:ribozyme from 1 species